CAGGAUGAACGCUGGCGGCGUGCCUAAUACAUGCAAGUCGAGCGAACGGACGAGAAGCUUGCUUCUCUGAUGUUAGCGGCGGACGGGUGAGUAACACGUGGAUAACCUACCUAUAAGACUGGGAUAACUUCGGGAAACCGGAGCUAAUACCGGAUAAUAUUUUGAACCGCAUGGUUCAAAAGUGAAAGACGGUCUUGCUGUCACUUAUAGAUGGAUCCGCGCUGCAUUAGCUAGUUGGUAAGGUAACGGCUUACCAAGGCAACGAUGCAUAGCCGACCUGAGAGGGUGAUCGGCCACACUGGAACUGAGACACGGUCCAGACUCCUACGGGAGGCAGCAGUAGGGAAUCUUCCGCAAUGGGCGAAAGCCUGACGGAGCAACGCCGCGUGAGUGAUGAAGGUCUUCGGAUCGUAAAACUCUGUUAUUAGGGAAGAACAUAUGUGUAAGUAACUGUGCACAUCUUGACGGUACCUAAUCAGAAAGCCACGGCUAACUACGUGCCAGCAGCCGCGGUAAUACGUAGGUGGCAAGCGUUAUCCGGAAUUAUUGGGCGUAAAGCGCGCGUAGGCGGUUUUUUAAGUCUGAUGUGAAAGCCCACGGCUCAACCGUGGAGGGUCAUUGGAAACUGGAAAACUUGAGUGCAGAAGAGGAAAGUGGAAUUCCAUGUGUAGCGGUGAAAUGCGCAGAGAUAUGGAGGAACACCAGUGGCGAAGGCGACUUUCUGGUCUGUAACUGACGCUGAUGUGCGAAAGCGUGGGGAUCAAACAGGAUUAGAUACCCUGGUAGUCCACGCCGUAAACGAUGAGUGCUAAGUGUUAGGGGGUUUCCGCCCCUUAGUGCUGCAGCUAACGCAUUAAGCACUCCGCCUGGGGAGUACGACCGCAAGGUUGAAACUCAAAGGAAUUGACGGGGACCCGCACAAGCGGUGGAGCAUGUGGUUUAAUUCGAAGCAACGCGAAGAACCUUACCAAAUCUUGACAUCCUUUGACAACUCUAGAGAUAGAGCCUUCCCCUUCGGGGGACAAAGUGACAGGUGGUGCAUGGUUGUCGUCAGCUCGUGUCGUGAGAUGUUGGGUUAAGUCCCGCAACGAGCGCAACCCUUAAGCUUAGUUGCCAUCAUUAAGUUGGGCACUCUAAGUUGACUGCCGGUGACAAACCGGAGGAAGGUGGGGAUGACUCAAAUCAUCAUGCCCCUUAUGAUUUGGGCUACACACGUGCUACAAUGGACAAUACAAAGGGCAGCGAAACCGCGAGGUCAAGCAAAUCCCAUAAAGUUGUUCUCAGUUCGGAUUGUAGUCUGCAACUCGACUACAUGAAGCUGGAAUCGCUAGUAAUCGUAGAUCAGCAUGCUACGGUGAAUACGUUCCCGGGUCUUGUACACACCGCCCGUCACACCACGAGAGUUUGUAACACCCGAAGCCGGUGGAGUAACCUUUUAGAGCUAGCCGUCGAAGGU
rnacentral:rRNA from 1 species